GCUGGGUGUGGUGACACAUACCUGUAGUCCCAGCUACUCAGGAGGCUGAGGCAGGGGGAUUGCUUGAGCCCAGGAGGUCAAGGUUGCAGUGAGCUGUGAUCACACCACUGCACUCAAGCCUGGGUGACAGAGUGAGACCCUGUUUCAA
ensembl:misc_RNA Metazoa_SRP Metazoan signal recognition particle RNA